AUGGGGAUCAUACUGAGCUGUUGUGUGCACCCCAAGGUCAGCCCCGAGUCGGACCAGGAUGAGGGGUCAGGGUGUCCUCCUGACUCUGAAAUCUGUGAGGCAGCAGCUGAGGACACGACAGCAGCAGCAGCAGCGCCCACGGCUACUGCCGUAGCACCUGUGGACUUGACUGUUGAAGCUGGUGAGGGCCUUCCUGUGCAGGACAUCUGUGAUGGGGAGAUACCUGAAGCACAAGAAAUAGGAGAAAACAGCGGUACAAACCAUAAAUAUACGGAUCUAUUUUCUUGGAAAUUCAAUUCAUGCUCAACAAUUUUCCUUGAGGACAACACAGCCAUCUGCCCUCAUUUUCACAUGACACUAAAAUCAGAUGCAGAUAGAACUUUUGAAGUAUUUGACGAACGUAUAUACCCACUUAACCAAGGAGAGGUUCUGGAAGAAGACUUUAUGUCUGAUCCUCCACACAGAAAAAUUUUCACCUUUAUGGUUACUCUGUUUUGUGUCAAAAGGCUAGAUGCUGACUCAGCAAUCAGAAGUUUGGUAUACAUACGACGACUUGUAGAGUGUGCUGAUAUCGACAUUUGUCCAACCAACUGGAGGAGGAUUAUCUUCGGAGCCAUUCUUGUCAUCAAAAGUGUGAUCCAUGAGGUUUUGUGCGAUGAGUACUUCUGCAAGCUCUUUGAGAAAACUACAGUUGGGGAUAUGUAUAGGUUGAAAAGAUCCUUCUUGGAGCUAAUUAAUUAUAAUACCAACAUUCCUGAAAGCGUUUUUACCGGAUACUAUUUCUAUCUCCGUCACUUGGCAUUCAGUCAUGGCCUGGGUAUGCCACCUUACCUUCUUGACAGAGCAAGAGCAUGGAAACUGCACGUAAGGCUAUGAAGUUACUAAGUGGGUUUUCAGUCAAACACCAGUGCUAACAUUUGUGACUAGGUCAUAUUAAGUAGUGAUUAGAAAAAUGGAAAGCUUCAAAAUUAACAUACUGAAGAGCUUAUUAACCUUUUGNNNNNNNNNNGGUAUAUCUGCUAGGAAGAGAAAGGA
rnacentral:lncRNA from 1 species